rnacentral:rRNA from 1 species
CCGCAUAAGCGCACAGCAUCGCAUGAUGCAGUGUGAAAAACUCCGGUGGUAUAAGAUGGACCCGCGUUGGAUUAGCUAGUUGGUGAGGUAACGGCCCACCAAGGCGACGAUCCAUAGCCGACCUGAGAGGGUGACCGGCCACAUUGGGACUGAGACACGGCCCAAACUCCUACGGGAGGCAGCAGUGGGGAAUAUUGCACAAUGGGCGAAAGCCUGAUGCAGCGACGCCGCGUGAGCGAAGAAGUAUUUCGGUAUGUAAAGCUCUAUCAGCGGGGAAGAUAAUGACGGUACCUGACUAAGAAGCACCGGCUAAAUACGUGCCAGCAGCCGCGGUAAUACGUAUGGUGCAAGCGUUAUCCGGAUUUACUGGGUGUAAAGGGAGCGCAGGCGGUGCGGCAAGUCUGAUGUGAAAGCCCGGGGCUCAACCCCGGUACUGCAUUGGAAACUGUCGUACUAGAGUGUCGGAGGGGUAAGCGGAAUUCCUAGUGUAGCGGUGAAAUGCGUAGAUAUUAGGAGGAACACCAGUGGCGAAGGCGGCUUACUGGACGAUAACUGACGCUGAGGCUCGAAAGCGUGGGGAGCAAACAGGAUUAGAUGCCCUGGUAGUCCACGCCGU